UCGUAAUGUACGACGAAGUUAUCACACCCGCAUUUUUAAUUUUAUGACAAAGUCACCACGCCCGGUUUUUUAAUUUUACGACGAAGUUACCACGCCUAAGUUUUUAAGAUUACGACGAAGUUACAAGGACACAUGUUUUGACUGAUUACGACGAAGUUACCAUGCCCGUGUUUUGCUUACGACGAGUUUACUAAGAAAUAUAUGAAACCCCAAAAAUCAAAUCCCUAAACCCCAAAGUUACUUAUCAAUAAGAUCAUCAUCUCCUUUACACAUUCAUCCUC
rnacentral:lncRNA from 1 species